GGACCUGAUGCAGCCAUGCCGCGUGUGUGAAGAAGGCCUUCGGGUUGUAAAGCACUUUCAGUUGUGAGGAAAGGUUGGUAGUUAAUACCUGCCAGCUGUGACGUUAACAACAGAAGAAGCACCGGCUAACUCCGUGCCAGCAGCCGCGGUAAUACGGAGGGUGCGAGCGUUAAUCGGAAUUACUGGGCGUAAAGCGGACGCAGGCGGUUUGUUAAGCUAGAUGUGAAAGCCCCGGGCUCAACCUGGGAUGGUCAUUUAGAACUGGCAGACUAGAGUCUUGGAGAGGGGAGUGGAAUUCCAGGUGUAGCGGUGAAAUGCGUAGAUAUCUGGAGGAACAUCAGUGGCGAAGGCGACUCCCUGGCCAAAGACUGACGCUCAUGUCCGAAAGUGUGGGUAGCGAACAGGAUUAGAUACCCUGGUAGUCCACACCGUAAACGCUGUCUACUAGCUGUGUGUGAAUUUAAUUCGUGCGUAGCGAAGCUAACGCGCUAAGUAGACCGCCUGGGGAGUACGGCCGCAAGGUUAAAACUCAA
rnacentral:rRNA from 1 species